rnacentral:rRNA from 1 species
GACGAACGCUGGCGGCGUGCUUAACACAUGCAAGUCGAACGGAAAGGCCCUGCUUUUGUGGGGUGCUCGAGUGGCGAACGGGUGAGUAACACGUGAGUAACCUGCCCUUGACUUUGGGAUAACUUCAGGAAACUGGGGCUAAUACCGGAUAGGAGCUCCUGCUGCAUGGUGGGGGUUGGAAAGUUUCGGCGGUUGGGGAUGGACUCGCGGCUUAUCAGCUUGUUGGUGGGGUAGUGGCUUACCAAGGCUUUGACGGGUAGCCGGCCUGAGAGGGUGACCGGACAAAUUGGGACUGGGAUAAGGCCCAGACUCCUACGGGAGGCAGCAGUGGGGAAUAUUGCACAAUGGGCGGAAGCCUUAUGCCGCAACGCCGCGUGCGGGAUGACGGCCUUCGGGUUGUAAACCGCUUUCGCCUGUGACGAAGCGUGAGUGACGGUAAUGGGUAAAGAAGCACCGGCUAACUACGUG